rfam:Triticum aestivum genome assembly, contig: Triticum_aestivum_CS42_TGACv1_scaffold_577222_7BL
GAGUUACUUCCUCCGUCCGAAAAUACUUGUCAUCAAAAUGGAUAAAAAGAGAUGUAUCUAGAACUAAAAUACGUUUAGAUACAUCCUUUUAAUCCAUUUUGAUGACAAGUAUUUUCGGACGGAGGGAGUAUUUG